rnacentral:rRNA from 1 species
CGGGUAGGAGUAACGCGUGAGGAAUCUGCCUCAAAGAGGGGGACAACAGUUGGAAACGACUGCUAAUACCGCAUAAGCCCACGGCUCGGCAUCGAGCAGGGGGAAAAGGAGCAAUCCGCUUUGAGAUGGCCUCGCGUCCGAUUAGCUAGUUGGUGAGGUAACGGCCCACCAAGGCGACGAUCGGUAGCCGGACUGAGAGGUUGAACGGCCACAUUGGGACUGAGACACGGCCCAG